rnacentral:piRNA from 1 species
UGAAUGGCUCUGCAGAGCUGGACCCUAGU